rnacentral:lncRNA from 1 species
UAGGCUUGAAGCCGAUCUACUUCUAAUUCUUUGGCGACCUUUAGUCCUGCAAUCAGAGCUUCAUAUUCUGCUCCAUUAUUUAUCACAGGGAACUCGAAGUACAGCACACACUCCACGAUAACUCCAUCUGGAUUGACCAAGAUCAGGCCCGCGCCUGCGCCUGACAUGUUGGAGGAACCGUCCACGUAGAGGGCCCAAAAACCAUCAGGGAGAUCUACUCUUUCUUCAGGGGAGUUUGACUGGAGCCCUGGGUUAUUGGCUUCAUCUCAUCCAAGUUCGGCCUCUUUCGGGAUAGUACAUUCCACCAUGAAGUCUGCUAAUAUCUGUGCUUUUAUCACCGAUCGAGGUCGAUAGUCGAUGUCGAACUCUGUGAGCUCGACUGCCUAUUUCGCUAUCCUCCCAGAGGCCUCCGUCCGAUGCAGAACCGUCUUGAUCGGCUGGUCGGUGAGCAGUGUUAUGGUGUGUCUUU